GGGGAAUAUUGCGCUAUGGGGGAAACCCUGACGCAGCAACGCCGCGUGCGGGAUGAAGGCCUUCGGGUUGUAAACCGCUUUCAGCAGGGAAGAAGCGAAAGUGACGGUACCUGCAGAAGAAGCGCCGGCUAACUACGUGCCAGCAGCCGCGGUGAUACGUAGGGUGCGAGCGUUGUCCGGAAUUAUUGGGCGUAAAGGCUUGUAGGCGGUCUGUUGCGUCGGAAGUGAAAACUCGGGGCUUAACCCUGAGCCUGCUUUCGAUACGGGCAGACUUGAGGGAUGUAGGGGAGAACGGAAUUCCUGGUGGAGCGGUGGAAUGCGCAGAUAUCAGGAGGAACACCAGUGGCGAAGGCGGUUCUCUGGACAUUUCCUGACGCUGAGAAGCGAAAGCGUGGGGAGCAAACA
rnacentral:rRNA from 1 species